UUAGAGAUAGUUGUGUUAAUAAAUAAAUUUUUUGUGUUUACAAAAAUGGAUGAUUUAUUAUUGAGCACAUUAGGAAAUGCGAUUACUUUGGCAGAAACUACAAGUAGUAGUAAUAGCUUAACAAUUGCUAAAAAUUUUAUAAAAAACCAACAGAGGUUGUCUGUCUUAGCUUACCGAUGUGAAAAUAAAAGACGAGUUUUAAAAAUUAAAAACUUUUCAAAGAGCAUUGCGGGUAUGCAGAAUGAUGUUUUUCAUUCACAUUUUCGAAUGGAAAAAUCAACAUUUAAGAUUCUUCUGAACAUGUUGAAACCAUACUGGGUGUCAAAGUGCACUGGUCGUAAUGGAGUUUCGUUGGAAAACGCGCUGUACGCAACUAUAUGGAAACUUAGCAACAACACAUCAUUUAGAGAUGUUAGCAACAGAUUCGAUAUGGCAAUGGGAACCAACUAUAAACUAUUUAUUAGAACCCUAAAACAAUUUGUUGCUUAAAAAAAGAUGUCAUAAAAUUUCCAAAUACUGUUGCAGAACGAAAACAAAAAUGUGACGAAUUUUCAGCUAAACGCAGCCAUCCGUUCCCAUAUGUCAUAGGUUGUAUAGAUGGUACGCACAUUUCCAUCUCACAACCAGUUGAGGACAGUAUUUGUUUUUAUAAUAGGAAGGGGAAGUUUUCAAUUGUUGUCCAAGAAAUUGUGGGUAGUCAUCUUAAGUUCAUAGAUGUGUUUAUUGGCUGCCCCGGACGAUGCCACGAUGCUGCUAUAUGGGAAAUGAGUCCUAUUAGAAAGUCAAUAGUCAAGGGAGAAUUAAAAAUUUGUUCCGGUUACCAUUUAUUAGGCGAUUCCGCAUAUCCGCUGGAAACCUUCCUAAUGGUACCUUAUAGAGACCUAAAGUAGUUCAAUAUAACAAAAUUUUAUGCUCAACAAGAGUUCAUAUAGAACAGGCAUUUGGAAUAUUGAAAAAAAAUUCCGUAUUUUGAAAUAUAUUGAUGUGCUACAUGCACAUUUACCAAAAACUAUCACGAUGGCCUGUAUAAUUCUUCAUAAUAUUAUUAUCGAAAAUGAGACUAAUGAACCCUGCGUCAUAAGUGAAGAAGAACAAGUUGAACCAUUUAAUAUCGAAAAUAGCUUUUCACAAUUACCAACUACAAGUCGACAGAGAGAACAACCCAAAAAUAAACGGGACGCCAUUGCCACUUUACUAUCUGCAUAAGUAAUGAAAUAUUAACUGUUUUUUUAAGUAAUAAAACAUGAAUUUGAUAUAAAACUA